rnacentral:lncRNA from 7 species
AGUGAAUGCUUCUGGAGACAUUUCUUGUGUGUCUGUGCCCUUUUAUAGGUACAACAACGUAUGGUGCUUUUCACCCUAAAUCUCCUGACUUCUGGGACACAAGCUCGAGAUUGAUGCCAUGAGGUCUAUAUUAACCAUCACAUAAGUGGAAGUCUCUGGAAGAGACUCCAGAGCUGGUAGUUUGGGGCGUUCAUCUGAAACACUGGGAAUUACCAGUUGUGGUGUGAACUAGGGAAAAACAGGCUACAAAGUGUUGGUCAUUGGCAGACCUUUUAAACAUCAGGUCACUUCUCUGAGAAUUUCCUCAGGAAAUGUUCAGAAUAUUCUUGUGUUUCUUCUGAACCAUGUCAGUAAGACAUCUGAAAUACUAACAAGUGCCACAAGUUUCAGGUGCAGUUGAGGAUGUAUAUGAAGUAUACAGCUGGGAUUUGGCUGGGAGAACAGUUGCCUGUGAGAGUGGAGAGGGAAUUUUUUUCACUGCUCUGGGGUGAAAUCCUGUCCGGUUACAGCUGUCCAAAUCCUUCAGCUCACACCAUUACCUGCUAGCUUGCCUUCACUUCUAAGGAGCCCAGGCACACGUCUCUGCUGUGGUUGCAGUUAAGGUGGCUAAGUAGCUAAAUGGGAGUGAACUCAAGUGUCCUUUUGUUGGCGCACCUCUGACUGUUAGCUGAUCAGUUGUAGGGGGGGCUAAAAUUUCUGUGCUGAUAGAAAAUUAAGCACAUUGUAAAAGAUGUAUGUAAACAAACUGGAAAGAAGAGAAAGUAGAAGCUAGGUACCCAAUCCAGCUACGAGCUCUCCUGAACACUGCAGGAUCAGGUCUUAUAAAGGAAGCACUACCUCUUCCAUUAAUGACAGCAUCAUUAGCAGCACAGAUAUAUAGAUCUCUUAAAUUAAUAGUGCAGCAGAUUGCUCCUGCUGCACUUAAGAAGCAGUUCAAUGUAACAACCACAAACUAAAAUAUUACCAAGUUUGUGAACUUCAAAGCAAACUUUCCUUCUUUUUAAAGAGUUUUACAGAACAGCUGAGCAUAUUUUCUCCUACCUCAUCUUUAAAGAAAUUACAAAAGAAUGUAUACAGCAGGCCUGAAGUUCCUGCCAGUCCUUCAUCUUGCUUUUCUUGGCAUAUUGGUAGGGAAUCUGGACACUGAAAUUUACUCUUAAUGAGGACCUUGUUUUACGGAUGUGUUCUUGUUCUGUGCAGUAACGCUUAUCUGAACUGCUUGUUCUCUUAUGGAGGGCCAAAAAAGAUACCUUGAAGAUAAACACUGAAGUAACGAGUCAAAAUGCUUAUUUAUUUAUUUAUUUAUUUAUUUAUUAAGUUUGGGAAGUAUAGCUGGUCAUUAAUCCAGUUGAAUUCCCUUAUCGAUGUACGUAUUGGUUGAUUUUAAGUUUACGAUAUAUCCACAGUCUUCUGCAAUCUUCAUUUCAAGGAUUGGUCAACUGAGAGAAAAAAGGUGUGUUUUCUUUGGCUUUUGAUGGAUUAAACGUAGAGGCAGCAAAUAUUAGGUAGGUUUUGGUCAACGUAAAUGAAAGCUGCAGGCAGUAGUUUAAAUGGGAACAGUGAUUUAGCUGAAGUGUACCUGAACAGGAACUGAAGGUGGAAAGCAAGAAUGUGAAGAAGUGGCCAGGGCAGCAACUGUGCCGUGGAGCAAAUGAAGAGAAGCUGAAAACACUUACCUAGAAAUGAAAAAAUAAGCCCAACUAACUAGCAACCAGCAAUAGGCAAGAGGGAUUAAAGCAAGCGACAGAAAGCCCAGAUAUGCAGAAAUACAUUAUGCUUACUGCUGAUUGCCAAGAAUCAUUAAGUGACUGUCAUUGAAUGCUGGACUAAAAGCAAGGGAGAUGAAAAGUCAGAGCCUCUUUGAUGGGAGAGAGAAACGAUGUGUCUGCCCCUUGAAAGUCACAGGCAGGGUUUCUACUGGUUUUAUCAGAGCAGAAUCGGACCCUCUGUGAGCUAAGCUGAUGAAAAAUAAAUGCUUUUCUUUUGCAGUCCUAC